GUGGGGAAUAUUGGACAAUGGGGGGAACCCUGAUCCAGCCAUGCCGCGUGUGUGAAGAAGGCCUUUUGGUUGUAAAGCACUUUAAGCGAGGAGGAGGCUACCGAGAUUAAUACUCUUGGAUAGUGGACGUUACUCGCAGAAUAAGCACCGGCUAACUCUGUGCCAGCAGCCGCGGUAAUACAGAGGGUGCAAGCGUUAAUCGGAUUUACUGGGCGUACAGCGCGCGUAGGUGGCCAAUUAAGUCAAAUGUGAAAUCCCCGAGCUUAACUUGGGAAUUGCAUUCGAUACUGGUUGGCUAGAGUAUGGGAGAGGAUGGUAGAAUUCCAGGUGUAGCGGUGAAAUGCGUAGAGAUCUGGAGGAAUACCGAUGGCGAAGGCAGCCAUCUGGCCUAAUACUGACACUGAGGUGCGAAAGCAUGGGGAGCAAACAGGAUUAGAUACCCGGGUAGUCC
rnacentral:rRNA from 1 species